AUCCCGGCGUCUCCGCGUGGCGCGACUUUUCUGGAAGCGUAUCGUGCCUCUUUCUUUUCCUGCUUCUCUCCAUCUCCACACCUCCUUCCCAAAUUUGCGCGGCCUUCGGCCAUGGCUCAGAUGCCGCCGGUUGAGCCCCUCCGUUCCUCCCUCUCCUCGCCGCCGCUGAGCCGCGCUCACGGGCGAAGCCCGAUCGACGUCGAUAGGCCCUUCUCUCUCUCCCCGUUCGGGAGGUGGACGAUGUUGGACGAUGCUGGACGACUCCGUCGAGCGGCAGCGUUUUGUAUCGCUGCGGCCCCAUCCUCUCCCGCGAUUCUCUCCCCUCUCUCCAAUUUACAGACGGUUGUGAGGGUUAUGGGCGUCUGCAUCUGUGCUCACGAUGGUGCUGCUGGCUGCCGGGCGAUUAGGGGAGUCUAGGCCACGGGGAGCAUGACAAGGGGAGGAUUCUACACCGUGGAGGACCAAGACGACGACCACGGCCGCGCAACACUGGCUGAUGUGCUGUGCAGCGGGCGGACGCGACGACCCAGAGGGGGCCUCACGAUGCAGCUUCACCUCGGCGCGUCAUUGAUUUCAUGGCGACCGACAACUGGUGGCGUCCCUGAUGUGCUAUUGUUGUUGCACGGCUUGGCCGCAGGCAGCUGGACUUCAGGCGGCAUGUUGUUGUACAUUGACUCGCCGGGGCAGCCGACGCAGGUGCAACCAGGGCGCUGCACUCGUGGGCGGCGCAGUGGCGCUCGGACGGGCCUUCACGCGCAGCGGCGUGAGAGCGCCCAUGCCGGAACUUGAAACAUGGGAUUCGAGCCUACACGACCGCUGCUGAGUUGUUGAUGGCCUUAAUUUUGGGGCAGAAGGAUGUGACGUCAACAUUGGGUGACGCGAUUGACUAAACGAAGGAACUGCUGGAGAUAAUCAAGCGGCUGCAGAAGAUGGAGGAGGGGCAGCACAAUGCCUGACACAACUGGCAGCGGUGGCGCGUUGUUGAGCACCAGAUUAAGGUUGCCUACAUAUUUCACUCCAGAGCACCAUAUUAAGAAAAACUGGAUCGACAGGGAGCUUUGGUGUACAAGCUGCCAUUUGUAUUUGUUCCUACGGACCAAAGGAAGAGCCCUUUGUUUGUAGAUAAAUUACAUGGAGGUUAGAUGAUGUUUUUCUGUCGAGUGGCUAUUCUAGGUGCUUCCGCUAUGCAGUGUACAAAUAUGCAUAAAUUGCAUGGAGGUUAGUUGAUAAUCUUCUGUCUGGUUAGUGCUUCAAUAAGGAGAAUUUUGCAAAUUGUGCAUCGUGUUUUAAUUAGUGAACAGUUACCGAAUACGGUGACUGUUCUUGACCUAUAGUUUUUCAGAGCGCAAGGUAUCAUCUAAUUUGUACGACACACUUUGCUCAUUAGAGUAAACACUACUCUUGGUGCCACAACAGUUUGCUGUUCUAUCAGUCCACACCUAUGCCUUAAGGAGGAACUCAGGACCAGCUGCUGCAUCAGCCAAAAAAGGUUAACUAUCUCAUCGGUGACCUUUCUCCCUUUUGCCUGAUGGUUUACCACUGAAUCCAGUUAACUUUCUCACUCUUCAUGCAAGUUAUAGCGCACAUCACGACUGACCUCAGUUGCAAUAGUGAGGCGAGCCAAUUGAUUGAACAAUAGGCAAUGUGCCAGAUAGUAUUUAUAUCGACCUACACAUGCAUGGAAAGCUUGAACCCCUUGAACAACAUAUAAGCAACCUGAGACAACCAUCAGAUAUAUAUCAUUGAACAGAGGCAAUACUUGACCUUAAUAACUACAGACUGAACUUACAAGUACAUAUUUUUACACUCUGGCCGGCAUCAUGUCACACACAUGAUACUAUCAACCGUCCUACAUUAUGUACCUCAUCUUUUUUCCAACAAAUAUUCAGAAAUGCCUUCAAACUAACCAUACCUGUAUAAGAGGCAAGACACGGGCGCGGCGUGCCGCCGCGCCUACCUU